GACGAACGCUGGCGGCGUGCUUAACACAUGCAAGUCGAACGGAAAGGCCCUGCUUUUGUGGGGUGCUCGAGUGGCGAACGGGUGAGUAACACGUGAGUAACCUGCCCUUGACUUUGGGAUAACUUCAGGAAACUGGGGCUAAUACCGGAUAGGAGCUCCUGCUGCAUGGUGGGGGUUGGAAAGUUUCGGCAGGUGGGGAUGGACUCGCGGCUUAUCAGCUUGUUGGUGGGGGAGUGGCUUACCAAGGCUUUGACGGGUAGCCGGCCUGGGUGGGUGACCGGCCACAAUGGGACUAAGGUACGGCCCAGACUCCUACGGGAGGCAGCAGUGGGGAAUAUUGCACAAUGGGCGGAAGCCUGAUGCAGCAACGCCGCGUGCGGGAUGACGGCCUUCGGGUUGUAAACCGCUUUCGCCUGUGACGAAGCGUGAGUGACGGUAAUGUGUAAAGAAGCACCGGCUAACUACGUG
rnacentral:rRNA from 1 species